CCCUCUUUAAAAAUAAAAAAAUAAAAAAUGCCAAAAACACGCCCUCGCCACCGCCCGCAGCCACGCUUCGCCGCCUGCG
rnacentral:sRNA from 11 species